GGACAUUGCAGAGGAACUGUUGCUCAUGAAGUGCCAUGUCAAGAGACAUAUUCCAGGGCCUACUGUGGUGGCAGCUGUAGGAUACAGAACAAUUUGAUACGUAAACCCUUGUUCUGAGGUAGAUUGUGCAUUUUCACCCUGUAUUUGGCAGUAAUUAUUUGACCAACAGAGUGAAACCCUCUGUCCUGUGUGAAAAGGCACAACAGUAGCUUUGCUGGAAAGCUUGUGAUCCCAGAAAAAAGUGGGCUCAGUGUUUUGGGGUGAGGUCAGCUCCUGUGUGGCUGGACAACAUAAAGGUGCCCUGUGAGAGGAACCAGGGCUCUGUGGGGGCCACAUCUCAGCAGUCUGCCUCCUGCACAUCCCAUCCCAUGGCUACAGCUGGGGGCACCAGGCUGGGCAGCUCAGCUUUUUGGCAGUGAGCCCACCUGAACCUCACCAGCUGUCGCUGACCCUGAGACUCUGGAGGCUGUGCUGGGUCCUGUCAAGUGUUUGCUGUGGGGACAGUGGGGAAGGACACAAACCCACUCUCCUGAACCAGACCUUGGGAAUAAGAGGUUAAAAUAUUAAUUAUGACACACCACAAAAUUAUGAGCCUACUCUAACACAAUAAAGAUUUCAUCAGACGCUUUACAAAGCAGGCUUAGUGCCUCCCAUUUCUUUUUAUAGCCGUGAAUUUUAAGUCCCACUGGGGACCAAAAGAAUGUGGGCAAGAAUCAUCUGAAACUGGAUACUUUUCUAUGUAAGGUUUUGAAACGACAGAGUUGAUUUAAGCAAUUCCUCAGCGCAGUGUUUUGCAAUGCAAUGUUUUUCUGCCCGGUUCACGACGGGCUGUGCCAGCCUGCAUGUCCCCCUGCGGCACUGGAGCCUUUGCUCAGGACAGCUGUGGCAUGCACACUGUUUACCAACUCCCCGAUAGGGAAAAACAAAGCUCUCGUUCCUGGGCUAUGGAAAACUUCUGCCGAUGAAUCCACGCCCUCUCUCCGGGGAGGAAAUCAAAACAAACAUUAAUGUCUCUUCACCCUUUUAUGCCUGGUAUAUUAAUCACCCAACAAGCGCUCAUGACUUCUCCCGGUUCCAGUUUGCAUUUGCCCUCUAACUACUGGGAGGAGUCCUGCUUUGUCUAUAAAAAGCUGCACUUUGCCAAACAGUGUAACAGAACCGAACUUAGGGAUUCACUCGCCCAUCUCACCCAGGGAGGGAGGACUGAGCGCAGCCAUGUUCGGCAUUGGGAAGAAGCUCGCUGAGGACGCUGUGCAACAAGCUGGAAGUGCUGCACAAGUGGCAGUUGACACUGUGAACCAGACUGUGCAGCAAGCAACAGAACAGGCUAAGGCUGCUGGUCAGAAAGCACUUGAUGAAGUCUACAAGGUUGCUGAAACUGGUGAAAAAGCUGUAAAAAAUGUAGCAAACCAAGCAACUUCAUGGGGCAAAAGCUUUGGACAAUAAAGAUCAAAAUGUAACACCACUGAAAUUUUUGUAAACAAGUUUCUACUACAUAUACUCUUAAAUAAAGAUAAUACUUACACU